UCCGGUUGAUCCUGCCGGACCCCACUGCUAUCGGGGUGGGACUAAGACAUGCUAGUCGUGCGCCUCCAAGCCACGGUGGAGGCGCGGCGCACAGCUCAGUAACACGUGGCUAACCUACCCUUGGGACAGGGACAACCCCGGGAAACUGGGGCUAAUCCCCGAUAGGUGAGGACUCCUGGAAUGGGUCCUCGCUGAAAGGGCGUCUAGACCAUGCUUCUAGACGCUGCCCAAGGAUGGGGCCGCGGCCGAUCAGGUUGUUGGUGAGGUAACGGCUCACCAAGCCUAAGACCGGUACGGGCCGUGAGAGCGGGAGCCCGGAGAUGGACACUGAGACAAGGGUCCAGGCCCUACGGGGCGCAGCAGUCGCGAAACCUCCGUAAUACGCGAAAGCGUGACGGGGCCACCCCGAGUGCCGUCCGCUGAGGACGGCUUUUCCCCAGUGUAGACAGCUGGGGGAAUAAGGGGAGGGCAAGUCGGGUGUCAGCCGCCGCGGUAAUACCCGCUCCCCGAGUGGUGGGGACGCUUAUUGGGCCUAAAGCAUCCGUAGCCGGCUGGACAAGUCCCCUGUUAAAUCCAGCGAUUUAAUCGCUGGACUGCGGGGGAUACUGUCCAGCUAGGGGGCGGGAGAGGCCGGCGGUAUUCCCGGGGUAGGGGUGAAAUCUUAUAAUCCCGGGAGGACCACCAGUGGCGAAGGCUGCCGGCUGGAACGCGCCCGACGGUGAGGGAUGAAAGCUGGGGGAGCGAACCGGAUUAGAUACCCGGGUAGUCCCAGCUGUAAACGAUGCGGGCUAGGUGUUGGCACGGCUACAAGCCGUGUCAGUGCCGCAGGGAAGCCGUUAAGCCCGCCGCCUGGGGAGUACGGCCGCAAGGCUGAAACUUAAAGGAAUUGGCGGGGGAGCACCACAAGGGGUGAAGCUUGCGGUUUAAUUGGAGUCAACGCCGGG
rnacentral:rRNA from 1 species